GACGAACGCUGGCGGCGUGCCUAAUACAUGCAAGUUGAGCGCUGAAGGUUGGUACUUGUACCGACUGGAUGAGCAGCGAACGGGUGAGUAACGCGUGGGGAAUCUGCCUUUGAGCGGGGGACAAUAUUUGGAAACGAAUGCUAAUACCGCAUAAAAACUUUAAACACAAGUUUUAAGUUUGAAAGAUGCAAUUGCAUCACUCAAAGAUGAUCCCGCGUUGUAUUAGCUAGUUGGUGAGGUAAAGGCUCACCAAGGCGAUGAUACAUAGCCGACCUGAGAGGGUGAUCGGCCACAUUUGGACUGAGACACGGCCCAAACUCCUACGGGAGGCAGCAGUAGGGAAUCUUCGGCAAUGGACGAAAGUCUGACCGAGCAACGCCGCGUGAGUGAAGAAGGUUUUCGGAUCGUAAAACUCUGUUGGUAGAGAAGAACGUUGGUGAGAGUGGAAAGCUCAUCAAGUGACGGUAACUACCCAGAAAGGGACGGCUAACUACGUG
rnacentral:rRNA from 1 species